GACAGAGGGUGCAAACGUUGUUCGGAAUUACUGGGCGUAAAGCGCACGUAGGCGGCUUUGUAAGUUAGAGGUGAAAGCCCAGGGCUUAACCCUGGAAUUGCCUUUAAGACUGCAUCGCUAGAAUCGUGGAGAGGUAAGUGGAAUUCCGAGUGUAGAGGUGAAAUUCGUAGAUAUUGGGAAGAACACCGGUGGCGAAGGCGGCGACCUGGUCCGAUACUGACGCUGAGGCGCGAAAGCGUGGGGAGCAAACAGG
rnacentral:rRNA from 1 species